UCAUAACAUUCACUCUGUGACCCAAAUUUGAACAAUGGUUAAAGUUUCAGAAUUCAGACGAAACUCCCUAAAGUUUGAGUACCUCCUUCAUAGGUUUUGGGUUAGUAAUGAGGCAUGGAGAUGUGUUUUAAGAUAGGGUCCUGAUGCUGUAGAAUUACAGAAUUUUUGGCAUCGGGUUUGGCAUGCUUGAGCCGCUCAAACGGAUGCAUAAAGGUGUAAAGAAUAGCUUGGA
rnacentral:lncRNA from 1 species